GGCCUGGUAGCUCAGCUGGAAAGAGCGGUGCAAAAUAAUAGGCUCGAUGAAAUUGCUUCAUGCACAGAGGCGUGUUCGAAUCUCGCCCAGGCCG